UCCUACGGGGCGCAGCAGUGGGGAAUAUUGCACAAUGGGGGAAACCCUGAUGCAGCGACGCCGCGUGAGUGAAGAAGUAUUUCGGUAUGUAAAGCUCUAUCAGCAGGGAAGAAAAUGACGGUACCUGACUAAGAAGCCCCGGCUAACUACGUGCCAGCAGCCGCGGUAAUACGUAGGGGGCAAGCGUUAUCCGGAUUUACUGGGUGUAAAGGGAGCGUAGGUGGCAUGGUAAGCCAGAAGGGAAAACACGGGGCUCA
rnacentral:rRNA from 1 species